AUUGAACGCUGGCGGCAGGCCUAACACAUGCAAGUCGAACGGCAGCACAGUAAUUGCUUGCGCUUACGGCGGCCGACGGGCGGGCGAUUCCUAAGUAUAUCGCAGUCUGCGGGUUCUAGGGUCCGGACGCAGGCGCUCAUACGGCAUUAGCGCAGACGACCUACGGGUGAGAGCAUCGGAUCUUCCGCUCUCACGUGAGUCUAGGUCGGAUUAGCUAGUUGGUGGGGUAAAGGCCUACCAAGGCGACGAUCCGUAGCUGGUCUGAGAGGAUGAUCAGCCACACUGGAACUGAGACACGGUCCAGACUCCUACGGGAGGCAGCAGUGGGGAAUAUUGGACAAUGGGCGAAAGCCUGAUCCAGCCAUGCCGCGUGUGUGAAGAAGGUCUUCGGAUUGUAAAGCCCUUUUAUUGGGGAGGAAGAGCAGUAGGUUAAUACCUUGCUGUUUUGACGGUACCAAAAGAAUAAGCACCGGCUAACUUCGUG
rnacentral:rRNA from 1 species